CGUACUUCGGGUCCUAAACUUCCUCCAUCUGACCUUCUAUUCUGUACAUUUCCUUGUGUAUUGUUUCAAGGGCAGAUUUGUUGUCCGUAUGCAACGAUUAGGGGUUUGUGGCACCAUGAAAACAAUACUUUACAAGAAAUCGAAUACUGACCUUUUAGAAUUAGUGUUUGUGAGAAUCCAUUAGAACUUCCAGCAGCUAUUCCCAUUGGGCUUGCUUUCAAACGAAGAUCAAGAAAAAGAGAAUUUGAUGAUGAAAAAAAACUCAAGUAUAUAAUGGAAAGGAGGCAUGGAAGUGUUAAAUUAGGGUUUCUGGUGAUGACGAUGAAGAAAAAAC
rnacentral:lncRNA from 1 species